UACGGGGGGAGCAAGCGUUGUUCGGAUUUACUGGGCGUAAAGGGCGCGUAGGCGGUCAGCACAAGUCAGUUGUGAAAUCUCCGGGCUUAACUCGGAAAGGUCAACUGAUACUGUGCGACUAGAGUGCAGAAGGGGCAACUGGAAUUCUCGGUGUAGCGGUGAAAUGCGCAGAUAUCGGGAAGAACACCCGUGGCGAAGGCGGCUCUCUGGAACGCAACUGACGCUGAGACGCGAAAGCGUGGGGAGCAAACGGG
rnacentral:rRNA from 1 species